CCAACGGCCCUCUUUAGGGCCACAAGCAAAUGAACCAAGCUCCGU
rfam:Toxocara canis scaffold45, whole genome shotgun sequence.